rnacentral:rRNA from 1 species
GAUUAACGCUGGCGGCGUGCAUAACACAUGCAAGUCGAACGAUGAAACUUUAAUGAACCCUUCGGGGAGAAUUAAAGCGGAUUAGUGGCGAACGGGUGAGUAACGCGUGAGUAACCUGCCUUACACAAGGGGAUAGCCUUUGGAAACGAAGAAUAAUACCCUAUAAAACCAUAAAAGCACAUGCAAUUAUGGUCAAAGUGAUAGCGGUGUAAGAUGGACUUGCGUCUGAUUAGCUAGUUGGUGAGAUAAAAGCCCACCAAGGCAACGAUCAGUAGCCGGCUUGAGAGAGUGUACGGCCACAUUGGGACUGAGACACGGCCCAGACCCCUACGGGAGGCAGCAGUGGGGAAUUUUGCACAAUGGGGGAAACCCUGAUGCAGCGACGCCGCGUGAUUGAGAAGGCCUUCGGGUUGUAAAAAUCUUUUGUAUAGGAAGAAAAUGACAGUACUAUACGAAUAAGGUCCGGCUAAUUACGUG